rnacentral:misc_RNA from 1 species
GAAGCUUGCUAGUUUUGAAUUCUCCACGAGAAUUCUUAGAGAUUUUAGCUGUUCUGUUUUUAGAAGAAAUGCUGCUAAACUUGUCAGACUCAUGUCCGAGUGCUGAAAGGGUUUUUGAUAUGCAAGAUGUUCUGAUGAGAUGCACCUUGGAUUCCAUAUUCAAAGUGGGUUUCGGAGUGGAAUUAAAUUGCUUGGAGGGUUACAGCAAAGAGGGAACUGCUUUUAUGAAGGCCUUCGAUGACUCGAAUGCCUUGGUCUAUUGGUGGAUCCAUUCUGGAAACUCAAAAGGUAUUUCAGUAUUGGGUGUGAGGCUUCACUUAAGAAGAAUAUCAAAAUCAUCGACGACUUUGUACGCAAUCUUAUCCGCAC